rnacentral:rRNA from 1 species
AUGGACCCCCUCCUAUGGCGGCCCAUCACCGGCAUCGGUUCCUUCAACCUCCGGACGUACGACGUCGAGGCGACGCCGUUGCUGUGCAAGAUGCUGGACGGCAAGGCGCACGUUUUCGCGUUCGCUGUGACCAACGCUGUGGACGUGUGGUACGUCGACGCCAACCUCCACCUCUGGCUGGACCCUGGGAGCACGGCGACGGCGGCGGGCCUCGUGAGCUACGUGGCGCCGGAGUUAGCGCCGGCGACGGCGUCCUCCCGCACGACGGCGAGCCGGCAGGUCUCGGCGACCGGAUGGGUGAAGUCGUCGUACGGGAACAUCACGAGGAACGCCACGCAGACGUUCGAUUUCGACAACACCAACGCCGGAGAGAAGGUGAACCAGACGACCGUCGCGCACGCCGGCGUCGCCGCCACGGACGUCGCCGGCGUCUUGUACUACUCGAUGCAGAUGCGCCAGAGCUUCCCGCUUUUCUUGGACUCAGGACCGGACCAGGUAACCGUCACGCACGGGUUGGAGGAGACGGUAGCCGCCGGCCGGUGGUCGUCAGGGCCCAGAUACCAGUCGCUGCGCAACACGCAGCGGAGCAGCGUCGCCGGGGCGUCGUGGGGCAUCCGGCAGACGUACAGGUACGAGGCGACCGACUGGUGCUACUUGAGGAACGUGACCAGCAGCGGUUACAGCAUCGUGGCGGACCAGUCCAGUGAGGCGUGCGUCAAGGGGCCAUUGCGUUGA